AAUACAAAUUUAAAAAUUAAAAAAUAAAUUUAAUAUGAAGAAAAAUAACAUUUAAUUACAAUUGAUUGUAUCUUAAAACUUCAUCUUUUUGAUCCUUUGACUUCUAUGACAUUUCUGCUAUUAAUCUGUUAAUUUUGUCAGAUACUUAUGCAGUAAACGGGGUAAAUAAAUACGCAGUAAAAACUUUUAAUUUAACUUCAUAAAUUGAAUUGACAUUGAAGGUACAAGCAGUAGAUAAAUCAUAAAUCAUCCGAAAAGGCGUUGUUGGUGAACAGUACUUAUAUUCUGAACACAUGACCAAAUCUGUUUAUUACGUGCAUAUUACCUUGUUAUUAUUAAUUCUAAAAGACAGAAAUCAUUUAUUAUAAUCAUCUUUGCACCUUUUAUAAAGUUUACAUACAUUACAUUUAUAAUGAUAAUUGACGAUUACAUUUGAUUAUGCUCUGUCUCAAGAUAGAAUACAUAUUUCCUUAAAUUCUAAAUUGUUGUUAUUAUUUUAAUAAUAAUUUAACGUUAGAAAAUAAUGCAAUUUGUCUGUUACGAUUGUUAUUACAUUAACACAUAUUGUUAUUCAUUUGCAAACAUAUUAUAUAUAUAUAUAUAUUUGUUUUUUUAAUUCUAAUUUCACAGUUUAAAUAGCCUUUACCAUAUAAUAUUCAAUUUGUUUCACUGUUCAAAAGUGUAUCUAUUGAACUGUGAAAAUUUAUCAAUUAUUACGAAAACCUCCU